rnacentral:rRNA from 1 species
AGUGAACGCUGGCGGUAGGCCUAACACAUGCAAGUCGAACGGCAGCACAGGAGAGCUUGCUCUCUGGGUGGCGAGUGGCGGACGGGUGAGGAAUACAUCGGAAUCUACCUUUUCGUGGGGGAUAACGUAGGGAAACUUACGCUAAUACCGCAUACGACCUACGGGGGAAAGUGGGGGACCGCAAGGCCUCACGCGAUUAGAUGAGCCGAUGUCCGAUUAGCUAGUUGGCGGGGUAAUGGCCCACCAAGGCGACGAUCGGUAGCUGGUCUGAGAGGAUGAUCAGCCACACUGGAACUGAGACACGGUCCAGACUCCUACGGGAGGCAGCAGUGGGGAAUAUUGCACAAUGGGCGCAAGCCUGAUCCAGCCAUACCGCGUGGGUGAAGAAGGCCUUCGGGUUGUAAAGCCCUUUUGUUGGGAAAGAAAUCCUGUCGAUUAAUACUCGGUGGGGAUGACGGUACCCAAAGAAUAAGCACCGGCUAACUUCGUG